rfam:Mus musculus chromosome 1, GRC primary reference assembly.
GGAUGUGAGGGUGAUCUGGCUGUGACAUCUGUCACCUCAUUGAUCGCCAGGGUUGAUUUGGCUGAUCUGGCUGGCUAGGCAGGUGUCCCCUUCCUCCCUCACCAGCUAGGUCGAAGAGGAUGGCCCUCCCCGAACAGAGGAGGACCAGUCCUCUGUCAAAGAUAUAUGAGUGGCUGUGCUACCCUGCUAGAACCUCCAAACAAGCUCUCAAAUUAGAUCCUUGACACCUAAAAUUUUAUCACUGAAAUUAAAAUCCUGUCACUUUUUCUUGAGGUUCAUUUUGACAAAUGUU